rnacentral:rRNA from 1 species
CCUACGGGCGGCAGCAGUGGGGAAUAUUGGACAAUGGGGGGAACCCUGAUCCAGCCAUGCCGCGUGUGUGAAGAAGGCCCUCGGGUUGUAAAGCACUUUCAGUGAGGAAGAACGCCUGGUGGUUAAUACCCAUCAGGAAAGACAUCACUCACAGAAGAAGCACCGGCUAACUCCGUGCCAGCAGCCGCGGUAAUACGGAGGGUGCGAGCGUUAAUCGGAAUUACUGGGCGUAAAGCGCGCGUAGGUGGCUUGAUAAGCCGGUUGUGAAAGCCCCGGGCUCAACCUGGGAACGGCAUCCGGAACUGUCAAGCUAGAGUGCAGGAGAGGAAGGUAGAAUUCCCGGUGUAGCGGGGAAAUGCGUAGAGAUCGGGAGGAAUACCAGUGGCGAAGGCGGCCUUCUGGACUGACACUGACACUGAGGUGCGAAAGCGUGGGUAGCAAACAGGAUUAGAUACCCUGUAGUC